GAUGAACGCUGGCGGCGUGCCUAAUACAUGCAAGUCGAGCGAACGGACGAGAAGCUUGCUUUUCUGAUGUUAGCGGCGGACGGGUGAGUAACACGUGGAUAACCUACCUAUAAGACUGGGAUAACUUCGGGAAACCGGAGCUAAUACCGGAUAAUAUUUUGAACCGCAUGGUUCAAAAGUGAAAGACGGUCUUGCUGUCACUUAUAGAUGGAUCCGCGCUGCAUUAGCUAGUUGGUAAGGUAACGGCUUACCAAGGCAACGAUGCAUAGCCGACCUGAGAGGGUGAUCGGCCACACUGGGACUGAGACACGGUCCAGACACCUACGGGAGGCAGCAGUGGGGAAUCUUCCGCAAUGGGCGAAAGCCUGACGGAGCAACGCCGCGUGAGUGAUGAAGGUCUUCGGAUCGUAAAACUCUGUUAUUAGGGAAGAACAUAUGUGUAAGUAACUGUGCACGUCUUGACGGUACCUGAUCAGAAAGCCACGGCUAACUACGUG
rnacentral:rRNA from 1 species